rnacentral:rRNA from 1 species
CAUGGCGCCUGUUUAUCAAAAACAUGGUUUUUUGUACUAAUAGAAAAUCUGGUCUGCUCACUGCUAGUAGUAAAUAGCCGCAGUAUUUUGACUGUGCUAAGGUAGCAUAAUCAUUUGCCUUUUAAUUGAAGGCUAGUAUGAAUGGCUUAACGAGGUAUAAUCUGUCUCUAGAGAGGUUGUUGAAUUUAAUUAAUUAGUAAAAAGGCUAGUAUAGCACUGUAGGACGAUAAGACCCUAUUAAGCUUAAUUUUUGAAUUUUACUGGGGUGGUAUUUUAAGAUUAGAAACUUAAAUAAUAGGAUUGUUUCAUUUUUGACCCAAUAAUAUUGAGUGCAGGAUAAAGCUACUAUAGGGAUAACAGCUUCAUUUUUUUAUUGAGUUCUUAUUUUAAAAAGGGUUUGUGACCUCGAUGUUGAAUUAAAGAUUCUGCUUGGUGAAGUGGCUAAGUCAGAAAGUCUGUUCGACUUUUGAUUCUUUACGUGAUCUGAGUUCAGACCGGCCAUGG